ACUGCGAAAGGUCCAAAGAAGCUCCCCCCUCCAGUGCCCAAUAACAGUGUCUCCGUUUUUCCUAUCUAACUUUCAAUACUAUCCUGCUUUGUACUGUGUUCGGAAUGGGGGAGAGAUUAAAUAUCCAGCACGCAACCGCGCUGUUGCCAGAUUUACAUAUUUUCUAUUAGCGGGAAUUUUAAAAUCUCGAAUGCGAGUUGGUUUAAAAUUUGACAGUUGUGUUUUCUCGAAUCGGAAUCUUAACCUUACUUUUGUGAUUAUUUAUUUACAAAUAUGUAAAUAAAUUCAAACAAGUAUUGUAUGUACCUACUGUGUUAUAAUUUAAAACUCUUAAUUAUGUUAGUCUUUAAAAAAAAAUGAAGCCCACAAAAAUACACUUGUUUACAGUGCAAAUGAUUUUUUAAUGGAAAUAGGGAUUUAGGAUUUCAUUUGCAGGAAAAACAUGGGCAACCUACCCAGUUCGUAAAAUUGCAAUUCAAAAACUCUUUAGAUUUUACUGUCUGGAUGGCACAGGAAGAGACACAAAAUAAUAUUCAGUACUGCAGUCACAGGAGUACAUAGAGUACGUAAAGAUAUAAGAAAACAGCUGUUCAACAUCACCUGACACCGUUUAGUUUUUAGAAAAUGAAAAGUCUUUAGGUUGAAUGCGAUCUGCAGUAUCUUGCAUUGCUACAUAAUGAAUGUGUUUAUAUAUGGUAUUUUUUAUUGAAUAAUCUAUACAGGAACAACUAAAUGAAUGUAUACAUAUAUUGCAGACAUUGCAUUUAGUUUUUAGAGCAGCAAGUUUUUUUGUGUUUCAACAAGGUAUUCAGUUUUUUUUUUCUUUUAGUAUAUACACAUUAUUAUCUUGUAAAAUAGCAAGCUAAUACAGUUCGGUAUCUAGACGUUAUGGAGCAUUCAACAGGUUUACCUUUUUUAAGCUUUAUAACCCUUUCAACAGUUUUAUUCCUUAAAAACAAUAACAACUGAUUUUCAAUGGUCAUAUUAUUGGUAUUUUAAUUCCAUAAUCCUUCCUAUAACAAUAGGUGCAUUGUUGGAAGUUAUUACAGUAGUUCUGCUGGAAAUACUUACCAAAAUUGUAUGUAUCUGCAUCAUUUAGAAUUUUACCCAAACACCUAUUAAUACUCUAUCUGAAUCUAACAUGUAUUGCAGCUCUUUCAAUGUCUUGUAUACAUAGGAUUUUUUCAGAAUCAGAUAUUUCAUUAAGAUUUACUUGCCAUGCCUUGUCUAUGUACCAGGGACAUAACAGUCUAUUAGGAACAGAACCCAUUACAUUCAGGCAUUGUAAAAAGUGUUAGUUAUGUCUGAUAUGAAAACAUUUGACUAUAUAAUACCAGCACACUCAUGUAUUUUUUCAAAAAAAGUUGGUAAAUAAAAGUAUUUUUUAUGAGCCCAUGAGUUCCAUUAGUUGCGAUAAGCGAUUUACCAAACUUAAUUAAUAUUUCCUUUUGCACAGUAUUCAUGGAAACACAUAAGACAAAAAUCAUUAUUGUUUAAUUCGGGAGGAUUAUCAAUAAUUGAAUCGUUUAUUUCAGAAAGGGGUCAAGUCACAAGUAUCCACUUUUGAGAAAAUAAAGUUUACACACUGUUUACAUUCAACAAACAAUCACAUUAUAUAAAAUAAAAAUUCUACCUAGCAACCUGGAGUAUUUGUUAAAAAAUGUUGUAUUUUUUAAAAAUGUAUCUUGUUAAAUUGUU
rnacentral:lncRNA from 1 species